rnacentral:rRNA from 1 species
UAGGGAAUCUUCCACAAUGGACGCAAGUCUGAUGGAGCAACGCCGCGUGAGUGAAGAAGGGUUUCGGCUCGUAAAACUCUGUUGUUAAAGAAGAACAUAUCUGAGAGUAACUGUUCAGGUAUUGACGGUAUUUAACCAGAAAGCCACGGCUAACUACGUGCCAA